GCCCGCGUGGCCAAAUGGACAAGGCGUCGGACUUCUAAUCCGAAGAUUGCGGGUUCGAUCCCCGCCGUGGGUA